UGGAGAACACCGAUGCGAAGGCAGCCCCCUGGGCCAAUACUGACGCUCAGGCACGAAAGCGUGGGGUAGCAAAACAGGAUUAGAUACCCUGGUAGUCCACGCCCUAAACGAUGUCAACUAGGUGUUGGAAGGGUUAAACCUUUUAGUGCCGCAGCUAACGCGUGAAGUUGACCGCCUGGGGAGUACGGCCGCAAGGCUAAAACUCAAAGGAAUUGACGGGGACCCGCACAACGGUGGAUGAUGUGGAUUAAUUCGAUGCAACGCGAAAAACCUUACCUACCCUUGACAUGUCAGGAAUCCCGAAGAGAUUUGGGAGUGCUCGAAAGAGAACCUGAACACAGGUGCUGCAUGGCUGUCGUCAGCUCGUGUCGUGAGAUGUUGGGUUAAGUCCCGCAACGAGCGCAACCCUUGUCAUUAAUUGCCAUCAUUCAGUUGGGCACUUUAAUGAGACUGCCGGUGACAAACCGGAGGAAGGUGGGGAUGACGUCAAGUCCUCAUGGCCCUUUAUGGGUAGGGCUUCACACGUCAUACAAUGGUCGGUUCAGAGGGUUGCCAACCCGCGAGGGGGAGCCAAUCUCAGAAAGCCGAUCGUAGUCCGGAUUGAAGUCUGCAACUCGACUUCAUGAAGUCGGAAUCGCUAGUAAUCGCGGAUCAGCAUGUCGCGGUGAAUACGUUCCCGGGUCUUGUACACACCGCCCGUCUACACCAUGGGAGCGGGUUCUGCCAGAAGUAGUUAGCCUAACCACAAGGAGGGCGAUUACCACGGCAGGGUUCGUGACUGGGGUGAAGUCGUAACGAGUAAC
rnacentral:rRNA from 1 species